rnacentral:rRNA from 1 species
GACGAACGCUGGCGGCGUGCCUAAUACAUGCAAGUCGAACGCAUUUUCUUUCACCGUAGCUUGCUACACCGAAAGAAAAUGAGUGGCGAACGGGUGAGUAACACGUGGGUAACCUGCCCAUCAGCGGGGGAUAACACUUGGAAACAGGUGCUAAUACCGCAUAAUUCCAUUUACCGCAUGGUAGAUGGGUGAAAGGCGCUUUUGCGUCACUGAUGGAUGGACCCGCGGUGCAUUAGCUAGUUGGUGGGGUAACGGCCUACCAAGGCUGCGAUGCAUAGCCGACCUGAGAGGGUGAUCGGCCACACUGGGACUGAGACACGGCCCAGACUCCUACGGGAGGCAGCAGUAGGGAAUCUUCGGCAAUGGACGCAAGUCUGACCGAGCAACGCCGCGUGAGUGAAGAAGGGUUUCGGAUCGUAAAACUCUGUUGUUAGAGAAGAACAAGGAUGAGAGUGGAAAGUUCAUCCCUUGACGGUAGCUAACCAGAAAGCCACGGCUAACUACGUG